GUGGAUUAGAUACCCUAGUAGUCCACACUGUAAACGAUGAAUGUUAGAUGUCGGGGAGGUUACUCUUCGGUAUCGCAGCUAACGCAUUAAACAUUCCGCCUGGGGAGUACGGUCGCAAGAUUAAAACUCAAAGGAAUUGACGGGGACCCGCACAAGCGGUGGAGUAUGUGGUUUAAUUCGAAGCAACGCGCAGAACCUUACCAACCCUUGACAUGGGACGUAUGAGCAUCAGAGAUGGUGUUCUUCACUUCGGGUGGCGUCCACACAGGUGCUGCAUGGCCGUCGCCAGCU
rnacentral:rRNA from 1 species